GACGAACGCUGGCGGCGUGCUUAACACAUGCAAGUCGAACGGAAAGGCCCUGCUUUUGUGGGAUGCUCGAGUGGCGAACGGGUGAGUAACACGUGAGUAACCUGCCCUUGACUUUGGGAUAACUUCAGGAAACUGGGGCUAAUACCGGAUAGGAGCUCCUGCUGCAUGGUGGGGGUUGGAAAGUUUCGGCGGUUGGGGAUGGACUCGCGGCUUACCAGCUUGUUGGUGGGGUAGUGGCUUACCAAGGCUUUGACGGGUAGCCGGCCUGAGAGGGUGACCGGCCACAUUGGGACUGAGAUACGGCCCAGACUCCUACGGGAGGCAGCAGUGGGGAAUAUUGCACAAUGGGCGGAAGCCUGAUGCAGCAACGCCGCGUGCGGGAUGACGGCCUUCGGGUUGUAAACCGCUUUCGCCUGUGACGAAGCGUGAGUGACGGUAAUGGGUAAAGAAGCACCGGCUAACUACGUG
rnacentral:rRNA from 1 species